UAGGGAAUCUUCGGCAAUGGACGGAAGUCUGACCGAGCAACGCCGCGUGAGUGAAGAAGGUUUUCGGGUCGUAAAGCUCUGUUGUUAGAGAAGAAUGAUGGUGGGAGUGGAAAAUCCACCAUGUGACGGUAACUAACCAGAAAGGGACGGCUAACUACGUGCCAGCAGCCGCGGUAAUACGUAGGUCCCGAGCGUUGUCCGGAUUUAUUGGGCGUAAAGCGAGCGCAGGCGGUUCUUUAAGUCUGAAGUUAAAGGCAGUGGCUCAACCAUUGUACGCUUUGGAAACUGGAGAACUUGAGUGCAGAAGGGGAGAGUGGAAUUCCAUGUGUAGCGGUGAAAUGCGUAGAUAUAUGGAGGAACACCGGUGGCGAAAGCGGCUCUCUGGUCUGUAACUGACGCUGAGGCUCGAAAGCGUGGGGAGCAAACAGGAUUAGAUACCCUGGUAGUCCACGCCGUAAACGAUGAGUGCUAGGUGUUAGGCCCUUUCCGGGGCUUAGUGCCGGAGCUAACGCAUUAAGCACUCCGCCUGGGGAGUACGACCNCAAGGUUG
rnacentral:rRNA from 1 species